rfam:Nadsonia fulvescens var. elongata DSM 6958 unplaced genomic scaffold NADFTscaffold_5, whole genome shotgun sequence.
GCCUAGCUAGCUCAAUCGGUAGAGCGUGUGACUCUUAAUGCCCCAAUGAGAUUCUCGGUGAUCACAAGGUUGGGGGUUCGACCCCCCCGUUGGGCU